rnacentral:rRNA from 1 species
GGCGAACGGGUGAGUAACACGUGGGUAACCUGCCCCUCAAACUGGGAUAACUAUUGGAAACGAUAGCUAAUACCGGAUAGUAUAUCGAAGCGCAUGCUUUGAUAUUUAAAGACGCGUAUGCGUCAUUGAGGGAUGGACCCGCGGUGCAUUAGUUAGUUGGUGAGGUAAUGGCUCACCAAGACGAUGAUGCAUAGCCGGCCUGAGAGGGUGAACGGCCACAUUGGGACUGAGACACGGCCCAA